rnacentral:rRNA from 1 species
GGGAUGACGUCAAGUCAUCAUGGCCCUUACGACCAGGGCUACACACGUGCUACAAUGGCAUAUACAAAGAGAAGCGACCUCGCGAGAGCAAGCGGACCUCAUAAAGUAUGUCGUAGUCCGGAUUGGAGUCUGCAACUCGACUCCAUGAAGUCGGAAUCGCUAGUAAUCGUAGAUCAGAAUGCUACGGUGAAUACGUUCCCGGGCCUUGUACACACCGCCCGUCACACCAUGGGAGUGGGUUGCAAAAGAAGUAGGUAGCUUAACCUUCGGGAGGGCGCUUACCACUUUGUGAUUCAUGACUGGGGUGAAGUCGUAACAAGGUAACCGUAGGGGAACCUGCGGUUGGAUCACCUCCUU